rnacentral:tRNA from 1 species
ACUUAAGUAGUUUAAUGAAGAAUUCUAAUUUGUGGUGUUAGAGGUAUAAUUUAUCUUAGGUU